rnacentral:rRNA from 1 species
GCCUAAUACAUGCAAGUCGAACGGAAAUUUUCGGAUUUUAGUGGCGAACGGGUGAGUAACACGUAAGCAACCUGCCUUUAAGACGAGGAUAACAAUUGGAAACAGUUGCUAAGACUGGAUAGGAAAUAAAAAGGCAUCUUUUUAUUUUUAAAAGACCUUUUUCGGAAGGUAUGCUUAAAGAGGGGCUUGCGUCACAUUAGUUAGUUGGCAGGGUAAAGGCCUACCAAGACUAUGAUGUGUAGCUGGACUGAGAGGUUGAACAGCCACAUUGGGACUGAGACACGGCCCAAACUCCUACGGGAGGCAGCAGUAGGGAAUUUUCGGCAAUGGAGGAAACUCUGACCGAGCAACGCCGCGUGAACGAUGAAGUAUUUCGGUAUGUAAAGUUCUUUUAUUGAAGAAGAAAAAAUAGUGGAAAAACUAUCUUGACGAUAUUCAAUGAAUAAGCCCCGGCAAACUAUGUGCCAGCAGCCGCGGUAAUACAUAGGGGGCGAGCGUUAUCCGGAAUUAUUGGGCGUAAAGGGUGCGUAGGCGGUUUAAUAAGUCUAUAGUUUAAUUUCAGUGCUUAACACUGUCCUGCUAUAGAAACUAUUAGACUAGAGUGAGAUAGAGGCAAGUGGAAUUCCAUGUGUAGCGGUAAAAUGCGUAAAUAUAUGGAGGAACACCAGAGGCGUAGGCGGCUUGCUGGGUCUUUACUGACGCUGAGGCACGAAAGCGUGGGGAGCAAACAGGAUUAGAUACCCUGGUAGUCCACGCCGUAAACGAUGAGUACUAAGUGUCGGGAUUACUCGGUACUGAAGUUAACACAUUAAGUACUCCGCCUGAGUAGUACGUACGCAAGUAUGAAACUUAAAGGAAUUGACGGGACUCCGCACAAGCGGUGGAUCAUGUUGUUUAAUUCGAAGAUACACGAAAAACCUUACCAGGUCUUGACAUACUCUGCAAAGCUAUAGCAAUAUAGUGGAGGUUAUCAGGGAUACAGGUGGUGCAUGGUUGUCGUCAGCUCGUGUCGUGAGAUGUUAGGUUAAGUCCUAAAACGAGCGCAACCCUUGUCAUUAGUUGCCAGCAUGUCAUGAUGGGCACUUUAAUGAGACUGCCAAUGAAAAAUUGGAGGAAGGUGAGGAUCACGUCAAAUCAUCAUGCCCCUUAUGAUCUGGGCUACAAACGUGAUACAAUGGCUGUUACAAAGAGUAGCUGAAACGCAAGUUUAUAGCCAAUCUCAUAAAAGCAGUCUCAGUUCGGAUUGAAGUCUGCAACUCGACUUCAUGAAGUUGGAAUCGCUAGUAAUCGCGAAUCAGCAUGUCGCGGUGAAUACGUUCUCGGGGUUUGUACACACCGCCCGUCAAACCACGAAAGUUGGUAAUACUCAAAAACGGUAGCCUAACUUCUUCGGAAGAGGGAACCGUCUAAGGUAGGAUCGAU